GACGAACGCUGGCGGCGUGCCUAAUACAUGCAAGUUGAGCGCUGAAGUUUGGUACUUGUACCAACUGGAUGAGCAGCGAACGGGUGAGUAACGCGUGGGGAAUCUGCCUUUGAGCGGGGGACAACAUUUGGAAACGAAUGCUAAUACCGCAUAAAAACUUUAAACACAAGUUUUAAGUUUGAAAGAUGCAAUUGCAUCACUCAAAGAUGAUCCCGCGUUGUAUUAGCUAGUUGGUGAGGUAAAGGCUCACCAAGGCGAUGAUACAUAGCCGACCUGAGAGGGUGAUCGGCCACAUUGGGACUGAGACACGGCCCAAACUCCUACGGGAGGCAUCAGUAGGGAAUCUUCGGCAAUGGACGAAAGUCUGACCGAGCAACGCCGCGUGAGUGAAGAAGGGUUUCGGAUCGUAAAACUCUGUUGGUAGAGAAGAACGUUGGUGAGAGUGGAAAGCUCAUCAAGUGACGGUAACUACCCAGAAAGGGACGGCUAACUACGUG
rnacentral:rRNA from 1 species